rnacentral:rRNA from 1 species
UUACCGAGUUUUCACUCCCUAACCCUUCUGUGAACCUACCUAUCGUUGCUUCGGCGGACUCGCCCCAGCCCGGACGCGGACUGGACCAGCGGCCCGCCGGGGACCUCAAACUCUUGUAUUCCAGCAUCUUCUGAAUACGCCGCAAGGCAAAACAAAUGAAUCAAAACUUUCAACAACGGAUCUCUUGGCUCUGGCAUCGAUGAAGAACGCAGCGAAAUGCGAUAAGUAAUGUGAAUUGCAGAAUCCAGUGAAUCAUCGAAUCUUUGAACGCACAUUGCGCCCGCCAGCAUUCUGGCGGGCAUGCCUGUUCGAGCGUCAUUUCAACCCUCGACCUCCCCUGGGGGAGGUCGGCGUUGGGGACCGGCAGCACACCGCCGGCCCUGAAAUGGAGUGGCGGCCCGUCCGCGGCGACCUCUGCGUAGUAAUACAGCUCGCACCGGAACCCCGACGCGGCCACGCCGUAAAACACCCAACUUCUGAACGUUGACCUCGAAUCAGGUAGGACUACCCGCUGAACUUAAGCAUAUCAAUAAGCGAAGGAAAAGAAACCAACAGGGAUUGCCCCAGUAACGGCGAGUGAAGCGGCAACAGCUCAAAUUUGAAAUCUGGCUCUCAGGGCCCGAGUUGUAAUUUGUAGAGGAUGCUUUUGGCGAGGUGCCUUCCGAGUUCCCUGGAACGGGACGCCACAGAGGGUGAGAGCCCCGUAUGGUCGGACACCGAGCCUCUGUAAAGCUCCUUCGACGAGUCGAGUAGUUUGGGAAUGCUGCUCAAAAUGGGAGGUAUAUGUCUUCUAAAGCUAAAUAUUGGCCAGAGACCGAUAGCGCACAAGUAGAGUGAUCGAAAGAUGAAAAGCACUUUGAAAAGAGGGUUAAAAAGUACGUGAAAUUGUUGAAAGGGAAGCGCCUAUGACCAGACUUGCGCCCGGUGAAUCACCCAGCGUUCUCGCUGGUGCACUUUGCCGGGCACAGGCCAGCAUCAGUUCAGCGCGGGGGAGAAAGGCUUCGGGAAUGUGGCUCCCUCGGGAGUGUUAUAGCCCGCUGCGUAAUGCCCUGCGCCGG